rnacentral:rRNA from 1 species
UACGUAGGGGGCAAGCGUUGUCCGGAAUCAUUGGGCGUAAAGCGCGUGUAGGCGGCUUGGCAAGUCCGCUGUGAAAACUCGAGGCUCAACCUCGAGAUGUCGGUGGAAACUGCCUGGCUAGAGUCCGGAAGAGGAGUGUGGAAUUCCUGGUGUAGCGGUGAAAUGCGCAGAUAUCAGGAAGAACACCUAUGGCGAAGGCAGCACUCUGGGACGGUACCGACGCUGAGACGCGAAAGCGUGGGGAGCGAACAGG